rnacentral:rRNA from 1 species
GACGUAGGGCGCGAGCGUUGUCCGGAUUUAUUGGGCGUAAAGAGCGUGUAGGCGGCCAUUCAGGUCAGCUGUGAAAACUCGAGGCUCAACCUCGAGACGUCGGUUGAAACCGUUUGGCUAGAGUCCGGAAGAGGAGAGUGGAAUUCCCGGUGUAGCGGUGAAAUGCGCAGAUAUCGGGAAGAACACCCGUGGCGAAGGCGGCUCUCUGGGACGGUACUGACGCUGAGACGCGAAAGCGUGGGGAGCGAACAGG